GUGAAAUUGUUAUACUCCCGCAUAUUUUUUUAGUUUUUUUGGUUUUUAUUAUUAUCUGUAAUAGCAUAUACAAUAUUUAAAACGUUAUCAUAGAGUUAACCUAAAAAAUAUUUAGUGGCCGCCUCUUUUUCCAUGGGCGCUAAUAUUUUGGUAUAAAACUUUUUAACUUAUUUUUAUCUGCGAACCAAAAGAAUUUGGUGGCCGCCCUUUAAUUAGGUGAAAAGGAGAAUCAACUUAAAGAGAAAAAGAGAGUGAAGAAUCGAUUAUCUUCCACUUGAGCGAAAGUCAAUUUCUCGUUUGCACUUCCACAUCAUUUACCCAUCAAUUGAAAAUCAGAUAAUCAAUCGAGGGAAGCUUCCGCCUCCGGUUCCUCUUCCGCUUCAUCUACCACUUCCCCAUUUUUUUUCUUUCCCCAAUUCCUCAAACCCUAGUUCCAGAUUUGGAUAUUUAGGGUCCACCGUUUCGGAUCUGCUUCCUCCGCAACUUUACCGGCUUCCGACAUGUGCUUCAGUUGACGGUUACAACAUCAUCUCUCUUCUGGGCAGCACCAGCACCAGCAAGCAUUUGUUCUACUUGUGCUGACAAAGCUAUGAUGUCAAAGCAAAUCAUGUUUGUGUUUUUGGAUCUGAAUAUGGACUUUCUUUUCUAUAUGAAAUUGCCACUAGAUUCUUUUCCACAAAGUUUGAGUCUUUACGUUUCUUUAUUGGUGUAGCCUUCAAAUUUGUUACUAAUCUAUUCUGGUUGUUAAUGUAUUUCAGAUUUUUGUUGUGUACGUGUAUUUGUGAGACGUGGUGGGUGCAAGAGGCGCCUAAAGACAUUUCUAUUA